UAUGCCUAGGAAAUGUUAAAAUGUAUUUACCAAACAGAUGAUUCAAGGGACUUUUCUACACCAGAGAAUGUUGGUCAGAUCCUUAGCCAGUGUUCACUGGGACAGUGCCAUUGCGGAGCUAUGCUGAUGUGGACCAGCUGAGGAUCCAACCCAGGAAGUUUUCAAUUAUCUCAUGAUUUCACAUUAAGCAAAUUUUGAAGUGCUGGAAAGGGCCCGGGUAUCCCUGAGCAAUGAUGAAGAACACCAAAGGCUGGAGAAGAGCCUCCUUAAAACUCCACCAGCAGUUUCCCCCAAAACUUCAUUUCUCCCCAUAUUCCUGGG